rnacentral:rRNA from 1 species
GCGGACAGAUGGGAGCUUGCUCCCUGAUGUUAGCGGCGGACGGGUGAGUAACACGUGGGUAACCUGCCUGUAAGACUGGGAUAACUCCGGGAAACCGGGGCUAAUACCGGAUGCUUGUUUGAACCGCAUGGUUCAAACAUAAAAGGUGGCUUCGGCUACCACUUACAGAUGGACCCGCGGCGCAUUAGCUAGUUGGUGAGGUAAUGGCUCACCAAGGCGACGAUGCGUAGCCGACCUGAGAGGGUGAUCGGCCACACUGGGACUGAGACACGGCCCAGACUCCUACGGGAGGCAGCAGUAGGGAAUCUUCCGCAAUGGACGAAAGUCUGACGGAGCAACGCCGCGUGAGUGAUGAAGGUUUUCGGAUCGUAAAGCUCUGUUGUUAGGGAAGAACAAGUACCGUUCGAAUAGGGCGGUACCUUGACGGUACCUAACCAGAAAGCCACGGCUAACUACGUGCCAGCAGCCGCGGUAAUACGUAGGUGGCAAGCGUUGUCCGGAAUUAUUGGGCGUAAAGGGCUCGCAGGCGGUUUCUUAAGUCUGAUGUGAAAGCCCCCGGCUCAACCGGGGAGGGUCAUUGGAAACUGGGGAACUUGAGUGCAGAAGAGGAGAGUGGAAUUCCACGUGUAGCGGUGAAAUGCGUAGAGAUGUGGAGGAACACCAGUGGCGAAGGCGACUCUCUGGUCUGUAACUGACGCUGAGGAGCGAAAGCGUGGGGAGCGAACAGGAUUAGAUACCCUGGUAGUCCACGCCGUAAACGAUGAGUGCUAAGUG